rnacentral:rRNA from 1 species
GACGAACGCUGGCGGCGUGCUUAACACAUGCAAGUCGAACGGAAAGGCCCUGCUUUUGUGGGGUGCUCGAGUGGCGAACGGGUGAGUAACACGUGAGUAACCUGCCCUUGACUUUGGGAUAACUUCAGGAAACUGGGGCUAAUACCGGAUAGGAGCUCCUGCUGCAUGGUGGGGGUUGGAAAGUUUCGGCGGUUGGGGAUGGACUCGCGGCUUAUCAGCUUGUUGGUGGGGUAGUGGCUUACCAAGGCUUUGACGGGUAGCCGGCCUGAGAGGGUGGACGGCGACAUUGGGACUGAGGUACGGCCCAGACUCCUACGGGAGGCAGCAGUGGGGAAUAUUGCACAAUGGGCGGAAGCCUGAUGCAGCAACGCCGCGUGCGGGAUGACGGCCUUCGGGUUGUAAACCGCUUUCGCCUGUGACGAAGCGUGAGUGACGGUAAUGGGUAAAGAAGCACCGGCUAACUACGUG